rnacentral:rRNA from 1 species
GACGUAGGGGGCCAGCGUUGCUCGGAAUUACUGGGCGUAAAGGGUUCGUAGGCGGUGCGGCAAGUCGGGCGUGAAAUCUCUGGGCUUAACUCAGGGGCUGCUUCCGAAACUGCCGUGCUUGAGUGCGGGAGAGGCGAGUGGAAUUGCAGGUGUAGCGGUGAAAUGCGUAGAUAUCUGCAGGAACACCGGUGGCGAAGGCGGGUCUCUGGGCAGUAACUGACGCUGAGGAGCGAAAGCGUGGGGAGCGAACAGG